GGGGCGUAGCUCAGUGGUAGAGCCCUUGCUUUAUAUGCAGGAGGCCCUGGGUCCUGGGUUCCA
rnacentral:tRNA from 1 species